AUUGAACGCUGGCGCCAGGCCUUACACAUGCAAGUCGAACGAGUGGCGGACGGGUGAGUAAUGUCUGGGAAACUGCCUGAUGGAGGGGGAUAACUACUGGAAACGGUAGCUAAUACCGCAUACCAUCAGAUGUGCCCAGAUGGGAUUAGCUUGUUGGUGGGGUAACGGCUCACCAAGGCUACGAUCCCUAGCUGGUCUGAGAGGAUGACCAGCCACACUGAAACUGAGACACGGUCCAGACUCCGACGGGAGGCAGCAGUGGGGAAUAUUGCACAAUGGGAGCAAGCCUGAUGCAGCCAUGCCGCGUGUAUGAAGAAGGCCUUCGGGUUGUAAAGUACUUUCAGCGGGGAGGCGUUACCCGCAGAAGAAGCGCCGGCGAACUCCGUGCCAGCAGCCGCGGUAAUUC
rnacentral:rRNA from 1 species